rnacentral:rRNA from 2 species
UACGGGGGGUGCAGGCGUUGUUCGGAAUCAUUGGGCGUAAAGAGCGUGUAGGCGGCCGCGUAUGUCAGAUGUGAAAGUCCUGGGCUCAACCUGGGAAGUGCAUUUGAAACUGCGUGGCUAGAGUAAGGGAGAGGAAAGUGGAAUUCCUGGUGUAGAGGUGAAAUUCGCAGAUAUCAGGAGGAACACCUGUGGCGAAAGCGGCUUUCUGGCCCUUUACUGACGCUGAAACGCGAAAGCGUGGGUAGCAAAC